CUUUCGAUGGUAGGAUACAGGCCUAGCAUGGUGGUAACGGGUAACGGGUAAUUAGGGUUCCAUUCCGGAGAGGGAGCCUGAGAAACGGCUACCCCAUCCAAGGAAGGCAGCAGGCGCGCAAAUUACCCACUCCCGACACGGGGAAGGAGUGACAAUAAAUAACAAUACGGCGCUCUUUACGCUCUCGUAAUUGGAAUGAGUACUAUUUAAAUCCCUUAACGAGGAACGAUUGGAGGGCCAGUCUGGUGCCAGCAGCCGCGGUAAUUCCCGCUCCAAUAACGUAUAUUAUGGUUGUUGCAGUUAAAAAGCUCGUAAUUGAAUUUCGGGAUUUGCCCAUCGGGCGUGCCUUAAGGGGAAUGAACUGGUGGAAUGAAUUUCUCACCUUCUGGAGAACCGGGAUGUCCUUAAUUGGCUGCCACGAGGAACCAGGACCUUUACUUUGAAAAAAUUAGAGUGUUUAAAGCAUGCAUUUUUGCUUGAAUACAUUAGCAUGAAAUAAUAAAAUAGGACGGCGUGAUUCUAUUUUGUUGCUUUCUACGAUCACCGGAAUGAUUAAUAGGGAUAGUUGGGGGCAUUAUUAUUCGAUUGACAUAAGUGACAUUCUUGGAUUUAUUGAAGACUAACUACUGCGAAAGCGUUUGCCAAGGAUGCUUUCAUUAAUCAAGAACGAUAGUUAAGCGAUCAAAGACGAUCAGAUACCGUCGCAUACUUAUCCAUAAACUAUGCCGACUAUCAGACAGACGAUGUUAAUUUUUUACUGACUCGUUUGCCUACUUACGGCAAACCAGAGUGUUUG
rnacentral:rRNA from 1 species